UUUGUAUUUGAGUUUCAACUGUCAAUUGUUUUCAAUAAUUUUGUAAAAAAAUGAAGUUUGUCAGUUAGUUUAUGUUUUGAUUGUUUCCAUUUCAAAAUUAUUCAGUGUUGUCCACGUACUAGUUGUUAUAUAAAAAUUGUUGUCCUCCUUACGGUGUCUAGUAGCGACAUUUUAUCCUCCAAACAUUAUACAUAUUUAACUUACAAUUUUUUUUUUAGAUGGCAGUACAGCAGAUCAUUCAAUACAUGCUGAGACAUGAAUUCACAUUUCUACCACUAUGCUAAAUAUCAACAUCCUACGUUGAAAAUGUACUAGACGAUACUGCUAAUAAUAAUGGUUUUGUGCAACGUGCGUGUAAUGGAUGGCAGUACAGCAGAUCACUCAAUACAUGCUGAGACAUGAAUUCACAUUUCUACCACUAUGCAAAAUAUCAACAUCCUACGUUGAAAAUGUACUAGACGAUACUGCUAAUAAUAAGGGUUUUGUGCAACAUGGCAGUACAGCAGAUCACUCGAGGCAUGCUGAGACCAUGAAUUCACAUUUCUAUCACUUGGGAAAGUUACAACAUCUUCCGUUGUAAAUGGAAUAGAAGAUGGCAGUAUAUCAGAUCAAUCAAGGCACGCUGAGACACGAAUUCACAUUUCUACCACCAAGGAAAGUAUCAACAUCCUAUGUUGAAAAUGGACUAGAAGAUACUGAUAAUAAUAUUGGAUUUAUGCAAUGUGCGUGCAAUGGUUAUUGAAUAUAAUUGAUACUAAAUUAAUACCUGUGAAACAAUUGAGAUUUGUUAAAUAUCUGAAUAAAAUAAUA